rnacentral:tRNA from 1 species
GCCUGGCUGGCUCAGUCGGUAGAGCAUGGGACUCUUAAUCUCACGGUUGUAAAUUCAAUCCCCUUGUUGGGCG